UUAUUUGUCCUGUUAUCGCUGAAUUUGAUAGCUUUAUUCGUGAUCAUGAAAAACCAUUGUUUCCAAAAACUUUGGGUGAUGUCUCAGAUCUAGAAGCAUGUUACAACAAAUGCAACCAAAGUUAUGACAAAUUGGCGUCACCAAUAUCAGAAAAUAGAUGGAAAACUUGCAGAAUAUUGUGCAAAACGGGAAACAAAAUUGUAGAACAGUGCAAAGAAUCCUCUGGUGGGAAUAUAGAUAAAUUUAAGAGAUGCAUAGAUGAAGCGUAUGAAAUGUUGGAAUAUUUAUUAAAAAAAUAUAAACAAUUAAAUUAAUUAUUAUAUAUUUCCA
rnacentral:lncRNA from 1 species